AGUUGCGAACGGGUGAGUAACGCGUAGGUAACCUGCCUUGUAGCGGGGGAUAACUAUUGGAAACGAUAGCUAAUACCGCAUAACAAUGGAUGACACAUGUCAUUUAUUUGAAAGGGGCAAUUGCUCCACUACAAGAUGGACCUGCGUUGUAUUAGCUAGUAGGUGAGGUAAUGGCUCACCUAGGCGACGAUACAUAGCCGACCUGAGAGGGUGAUCGGCCACACUAGGACUGAGACACGGCCCAGACUCC
rnacentral:rRNA from 1 species